GGGUGCGAUCAUACCAGCACUAAUGCACCGGAUCCCAUCAGAACUCCCCAGUUAAGCGUGCUUGGGCGAGAGUAGUACUAGGAUGGGUGACCUCCUGGGAAGUCCUCGUGUUGCACCCC
rnacentral:rRNA from 1 species